UGAUGUGUGUGUGUGUGUGUGUGUGUGUGUGUGUGUGUGUGUGUGUGUGUGUGUGUAUGUGUGUGUUUGUCUGUGUUUGUGUGUGUGUGUGAGAUGCUGAUGAUUGAUGAGUGUAUUAUUGAAUUGUUAGUGAGAUGCUGAUGAUUGAUGAGUGUAUUAUUUGUCAGGAGCUAUAUGGGAUAUAUAAAGUGUGUUAUGAUGUUAUGAGGUUAUGAGGUGUGUUAUGAUGUUAUGAGGCUAUGAGGUGUGUUAAGAUGUUAUGAGGUUAUGAGGUGUGUUAUGAUGUUACGAGGUUAUGAAGUGUGUUGUGAGGUUAUGAGGUUAUGAGGUGUGUUAUGAGGUUAUGAGGUUAUGAGGUGUGUUAUGAUGUUAUGAUGUGUGUUAUGAUGUUAUGAGGUGUGUUAUGAGGUGUGUUAUGAUGUUAUGAGGUGUGUUAUGAGGUUAUGAGGUGUGUUAUAAUGUUAUGAGGUGUGUUAUAAUGUUAUGAGGUUAUGAUGUUAUGAGGUUAUGAGGUUAUGAUGUUAUGAGGUGUGUUAUGAGGUUAUGAGGUGUGUUAUGAGGUUAUGAGUUGUGUUAUGAUGUUAUGAUGUUAUGAGGUUAUGGGGUUAUGGGG
ensembl:lncRNA